CUAGAGCUUGUUGCACCUUCCUGCGGGCAUCACUGCGUACCAACAGACAACAGAGCAAAUGUGCAUGUUUAUCUUCACUCGAACAGGUUUGCACAGGCCAGGCCUGACCACAGGCUGACCGAAGAUGUGUGUCCAUGUCGUGAGGAGGAAGGGAAGGUGCCUCAGAUUAACACUUCAAAGGCACAAGAGCCCAGUGUGGAGAUUAAAGCCCAGCGUGUAUCAAAGCCCCUCAGGUGGCCAACAACACACAGACGUUAAUCCAAAGGGACCUAUACAGAAGACUAAUUACAGAUACUGCGGUUAAGUGCACUGCAGAUCUGAAUGAUGGCAGAACACCAUAACUCGCAUCUGUUUCAUGAAGAGCUCACAUCUUCUCACCCUUCUGUGAUCCUUAACCUGUAAAGUGCAUCUUACGUUGAAGGGAAUAUGUGGGAUAUGUGAUGUGCCGAGCGGUUGUAACGAUGCAUCCUGAUGCACAAGCCUUACUGAGGAUGUGACUCAACCGUCGAACAUCCAUCAAUUACCCAAGCAUCAUGCUCUUCUCUUUUAGAGGAAUCACCAGCGCUUCUGACCUGAACAAUGCUCAUUAAUGCUCUUCAAAUGUGUUUUUUCUUUUUCUGACUUUUUGUCUGUGGCUGAGCGACAGAGAGCAUUGUGGGUCGAGUUGACCCACAAUGGGGUUUUGCUGUAGUUAUGACCCCACUUAACAAAGCUGUGAUAUGACUGGGACCGUCCACAUGAGAGAAAUUUUAUACAAUAUCCGGAUCAAUAAUACUCAGUUAUUGAUUGAUAAACCAUGGGGGUGGGAGUACAGAGGGAUGAAGGGAGAGUGGUAACAAAUAGAAACAGACAGACAUAAAAAAGAGGAAGAAAAGAGAAAAACUGGGAAAAAGAGAGAAGGCAAAAAGAGAAGACAGAUGGGAGGAAGGAAGAGAAAUGUCCUGUAUUAAUUAUUCUCACUAGUUUUAUUUAUAGACUGAAUGGUCAAGUGUGUGUGUGUGUGUGUGUGUGUGUGUGUGUGUGUGUGUGUGUGUGUUUUAGAGGGGUUGGAGUGAUUGAUGAUGUGUAGAAGAGGAAAGAGCCGAAAUCAACCAGAAUCACCAGUUACACUUACUGUAUGUGAACAAUGCAUGAUUAUUAACAACACACACACACACACACGCACACACACACACAGCAGUCUAUUUCAGACAGACUGCACACAUCACACAAAGGCUUUCAAAUAGACAAAAGAAAAAAACAUGCACAGGGAACUUUUAUUGAAGUCUGUUAUUUUUAACAAACAGUAACCUUGGUGUGAGAAAAUGUAUGAAUAAUUAUGUUAAUUAAAUAUUUGA